rnacentral:rRNA from 1 species
UUGAACGCUGGCGGCAGGCCCAACCCAUGCAAGUCGAGCGGAUGAAGGGAGCUUGCUCCUGGAUUCAGCGGCGGACGGGUGAGUAAUGCCUAGGAAUCUGCCUGGUAGUGGGGGAUAACGUCCGGAAACGGGCGCUAAUACCGCAUACGUCCUGAGGGAGAAAGUGGGGGAUCUUCGGACCUCACGCUAUCAGAUGAGCCUAGGUCGGAUUAGCUAGUUGGUGGGGUAAAGGCCUACCAAGGCGACGAUCCGUAACUGGUCUGAGAGGAUGAUCAGUCACACUGGAACUGAGACACGGUCCAGACUCCUACGGGAGGCAGCAGUGGGGAAUAUUGGACAAUGGGCGAAAGCCUGAUCCAGCCAUGCCGCGUGUGUGAAGAAGGUCUUCGGAUUGUAAAGCACUUUAAGUUGGGAGGAAGGGCAGUAAGUUAAUACCUUGCUGUUUUGACGUUACCAACAGAAUAAGCACCGGCUAACUUCGUG